CCUACGGGAGGCAGCAGUGGGGAAUAUUGCGCAAUGGGCGAAAGCCUGACGCAGCGACGCCGCGUGAGGGAUGAAGGUCUUCGGAUCGUAAACCUCUGUCAGCAGGGAAGAACGGUCACUGUGCUAAUCAGCAGUGAAUUGACGGUACCUGCAAAGGAAGCACCGGCUAACUCCGUGCCAGCAGCCGCGGUAAUACGGAGGGUGCGAGCGUUAAUCGGAAUUACUGGGCGUAAAGCGCUCGUAGGCGGUAUGUCAAGUCAAGGGUGAAAUCCCCGCGCUCAACGUGGGAACUGCCUUUGAAACUGGCAAACUGGAGUGUUAGAGAGGAUAGUGGAAUUCCAGGUGUAGGAGUGAAAGCCGUAGAUAUCUGGAGGAACAUCAGUGGCGAAGGCGACUAUCUGGCACAUAACUGACGCUGAGGAGCGAAAGCGUGGGUAGCAAACAGGAUUAGAUACCCUGGUAGUC
rnacentral:rRNA from 1 species